UACAGAGGUGGCAAGCGUUGUUCGGAAUUACUGGGCGUAAAGGGCGCGUAGGCGGCCUUCUAAGUCAGACGUGAAAUCCCCCGGCUUAACCUGGGAACUGCGUCUGAUACUGGAGGGCUUGAGUAUGGGAGAGGGAUGUAGAAUUCCAGGUGUAGCGGUGAAAUGCGUAGAUAUCGGGAGGAACACCUGUGGCGAAGGCGGCCCCCUGGUUGGAUACUGACGCUGAUACGCGAAAGCGUGGGGAGCAAACAGG
rnacentral:rRNA from 1 species